AGGCAACAUGGUCAUUAUAUUUUUACAAAACAUACAAAAUUAAUAUUUACUUUUAAAGCUAUGGAAAUAAAAUUACAAAUAUUUGCAGAAAAAAUGCGUUUUAAAAUUGUUUCAUUGUAAUUUGAUCGCAAAAGUCAAGCUCCUCACCCCACCAAUCAAUUAACAUCCCUAUUUCACUGAAUUCUUCGAAAUCUCCGAUGCCGAUCUUGCGAACUGCAUUAAGAUUAAAAUUACCUCCAAAUCCUUCCUGAAAAACCCGAUUGAAGCCCUCUGUAGAAAUCAGAACGAGAAAACAUUCAAGCGGAAUAAGAAAAAAUGGUGGAUUGGUGGUUGGCAGUGAUAGGCGCAGCUAUCCCAGCGGUUGCAGUACAACAGGUAAUAAAAUCUAGUCGCAAAUCAGCAGGGCAGGCAAAAACCCCACACGAAAAUGAAAAGCACUUCUUCUGCGAAAGAGUCUGCACUUCACAGCGAAUGUUGAACAAAGUGGGAGGGGUUUCCAAAGACCUCCCUCAUAAUACAUGCGUUACUGUCUGCGGGGCGUCUGAAUUGGAUUCAUGUACGGACGCUUGCACUCGAGCAGUGUGUGCAAAUGACUACCAUUUGCCUAAUUGGAGCGAUGUUUGUCUCAGGAGGUGCCAAAAUCAGUGCCUGAAGCUUCGUUCACGUUCUGCCGAUUAGAUUACUAGUCGAAUGCUUACAGCUUGAUAAUGGAUGCUGCUUCUGGGAUACAACUUCAAUAUCUUGCAAUCCCUUGGUGCCGUCUCUGAUCUGUGCCAUUAUUUCUUGCAAUCGAUAAUGCCACGAGGCACUGGUUCUUACAGAGCAGACACAAAUCUGGAUUAACAAAAGAAACAAUGUAAAUUCCACGAUGAUGAAGCAAUGUGCUUGAAACUUGCUCUUAUAUCUCCUAAAUCAAAAAGGUGGUAACCUUUGAGGUUUGAUUAGUCACCUCCCUUUAAUAUCCAUCUCUUCAUAACAACGAUUAGAUAAUCAUCGUCCUUAUAAUUCAUAUCUGAUUGUCUAGAUACUAAUCACACCAUCUUAUACAUAAUCAGUUAGUAGUCUUCAUGACUACCGAUUCUCAUUAA